AUUGAGCGCUGGCGGCAGGCCUAACACAUGCAAGUCGAGCGGAUGAAGGGAGCUUGCUCCUGGAUUCAGCGGCGGACGGGUGAGUAAUGCCUAGGAAUCUGCCUGGUAGUGGGGGAUAACGUCCGGAAACGGGCGCUAAUACCGCAUACGUCCUGAGGGAGAAAGUGGGGGAUCUUCGGACCUCACGCUAUCAGAUGAGCCUAGGUCGGAUUAGCUAGUUGGUGGGGUAAAGGCCUACCAAGGCGACGAUCCGUAACUGGACUGAGAGGAUGAUCAGUCACACUGGAACUGAGACACGGUCCAGACUCCUACGGGAGGCAGCAGUGGGGAAUAUUGGACAAUGGGCGAAAGCCUGAUCCAGCCAUGCCGCGUGUGUGAAGAAGGUCUUCGGAUUGUAAAGCACUUUAAGUUGGGAGGAAGGGCAGUAAGUUAAUACCUUGCUGUUUUGACGUUACCAACAGAAUAAGCACCGGCUAACUUCGUG
rnacentral:rRNA from 1 species